GUGGGAGCAAGGCUUGCCCGCGAUGCUGGCGCCUCGGUCUACAGUGAUACCGAGGCGAUGCCGUCGCGGGCAAGCCUUGCUCCCAC
rnacentral:misc_RNA from 1 species